rnacentral:rRNA from 1 species
GGCGGGACACGUGAAAUCCUGUUUGAAGAUCGGAGGACCACCUCCGAAGGCUAAGUACUCCUUACUGACCGAUAGCGAACCAGUACCGUGAGGGAAAGGUGAAAAGCACCCCGACGAGGGGAGUGAAACAGUACCUGAAACCGAACGCCUACAAUCAGUUGGAGGCCCCUUGAGGGCUGACAGCGUACCUUUUGUAUAAUGGGUCAGCGACUUAUAUUCAGUGGCGAGCUUAACCGUCUAGGGGAGGCGUAGGGAAACCGAGUCUUAAUAGGGCGUUUAGUUGCUGGUAAUAGACCCGAAACCCGGCGAUCUAUCCAUGAGCAGGUUGAAGGUUGAGUAACAUC